AGAAGAUUUAAGACCAAAACUGCUAACUCACGUAUCUUGAGGAGCAACUUGGCUGAAGAGAAAAUGAAAGAGUGUAACAUUCGGUGCGAUCCCAGCCAAUACACAUAAUGCGGUGAAGCCAUAGAUAUGCCGUCACGCAUUCGGCACCACCGUACAUGACGAUAUCUCAAAAUAAUGGAGAAGUGCCACAAAAAAAGGAC
rnacentral:lncRNA from 1 species